UACGGGAGGCAGCAGUGGGGGAUAUUGCGCAAUGGGGGCAACCCUGACGCAGCAACGCCGCGUGAAGGAUGAAGGUUUUCGGAUUGUAAACUUCUUUUGUUAGGGACGAAAUUUGACGGUACCUAACGAAUAAGCUCCGGCUAACUACGUGCCAGCAGCCGCGGUAAU
rnacentral:rRNA from 1 species